CGGGCAGGGUCAGUGCAGUCGCUGACCCUGUCGCUCCCCUGACGUACUCCGUAUACUGGGUGUAGGGAGAGACGCAGAAUUGAGCUCAGAGCCGGGAAAGCUGUCCUAGAAGGCCCGUGAGAACAGCUGGUACCUGCUUUAGCGUUAGCGUCGCUGGGGAUCCAACCCUGAUGGAAAAGUCACCUUCCUGCUCCAGAGGAAGAAACAUGUCAUUUUGGACCACUUUGAGCCACUGUGUGUUUCCACCAACUCGCCGUUUCCUCUGCCACGAGGCCAGCAUGCCACAGCUCACCCACCAUGGACAUGACACAAGGACCGUGGCACUGAGAAAAUGAAAUAAAAGGAAAAUCAUCUUUCCAUCAUUGCAUAGUCUCUCAAAGCAGCAAAUGUGAAGGAGCACACUGGAAAGCCACUUCAUUUUUACAGAGCCUAAGGAUCAUUUUUUUGAUUACUUGAAUUUCCAUGUCUAGUCGCUUUAUGAGCACACAGAUACUGGAAGCUUCCUGCCCUUGAGACGGUCGUUCCUUGCACAUGAAGCAUGGUGGUCAGAGGCUGUCACCAACUCAAACCACUGCCUGAGAGCAUCGCUGAGCGUCUCGGGAAGUGCAUUCAUAUCACGAAGAAUUAUAUAGAAGGGGAAUGGGAACUCUUCCAUGUAGGAUCGGAUUUCAGGCAUCUCUCCAGGUCCUUUAAAUAUUGGUACUUUAAUGUCCAAGAUAGAAUCCUGUUAACAGAAGACAUUUUGAAAUAAAAGCCAAAUCAGUGUCCUUGGCUAGCUCUUCCAUGACCUCUUUUGCUGACAUUUUUUGUCUAAUUCCUGCAUAUGAAAAUAGCUUUUAUUACUAAGUAAAACAAAAUUUUCGGGACUCUCGUUGAGGAGGAAGCAGAUCUCUAAGCACCCCUUCCAGGAGAAUAGGCACAAAAAGGGAGGGAAAGGGAUAUAAGAAAACUUGAUUUCUCCACAGUGGUGUCUUCCAUUCUCAACGUGGACUAAUUCACAUUAAAUCUUGCUAUCUAGGCCUUACCAUGACCUGUGGAGAUAAUGCUUCCCUUGGAACAGAACUGCCCCGUUUUCUUUCACUUGGCAACUGAUGCGUCCUGCUCUGACAGCACUGCUGAGAUACAAGUAACUGGGAAGGGCUUGACUACAUUUCCACGUGAACAGGACCCAUUGCUAAGAGUUGGCAUAGUGCCCCCCUCACUGGAUUAUUGCGAGGUUAAAUGAGAACAUACUUAUAAACUGCCUAAAACAAUGCCUGACAGAACAGAGUUUUGAGUAUGAUGGUGUGACCCAGGCCAUAUUUCAGACAGAGUAGACUGAAUGGCAUCCUUGCUUUAUCCUCAGAAAAGUGGCUUUGUCACUCACCCGUGAACUGGGAUUAUCCAACACAACAAAAAUGACAAAGAUCUUAGCAUUCUGAGCAGCCUGAACUGCUGCCAGGACUCUGUCUUUGCCCUCAAGGAAAAGGCCGCGUCCGUCAGAGACCACCAGGAGGAGUUGUGCAGUGUCUAUAGUAGGACAUACAGCAGGAGAGGGAGGAAACAGAAUGGAAAUCCAUUUUUAACAAAUCACGACUACUUAAAGACAAAUUAACAUAGGCUUUCUCUGUACUAUUAACAUCAAAGAGAUAUGAAACCGAUGAACUCUGGGCACAAAAGAGGCCUCUAAUUAGAUCUCUUACUUCGGAUGCCAGUGUCAGGGACAAGGCUGCACACACACCCGCACAAAGCUGCUGUCAACAAAACAGUUUCCCAGUAGUGUUUCAGGGAAUGUUGAAUUUAGAUCAGCUUCACUGUAGAGCAACAUAUAAGAGAACUAAAAUACACAUUUAUGGCUAUAAAAUAUUAAAAUGCAGUAGAGUAGAAGUACCCAAAUUUCAUAUACCUGACUUCUGUUUUUUCCUUGAAAUUGAUUUAAACAAAAAAAUAGAAGGGACCAGUAAAAUAAAUGAAUUAAAUUUUUUUUUUAAGUUAUAUAACGUUUCCAGCAAAAGAUUACAGCUGUUGAGGGCUAUCUUUUCUCUGUCAAGGAAGGUUAGCAAGUGUUGAGAGUCAUGAAAGACUUGUUUCAAACAGGUUUGUCCAUGAUACACUCAGAAUUGAGAUUUUUGUGAAAGAGCUAAAGAACAGGUGUUUCAAGCCUGAAAUCAAUCACGGCUAGAUUAGUUGGUUUCUGCAUUAUGUCCUCGUCUGCUUUCCUGUGUUAAUACUCUUCAUACUUAAUUCCACAUACUUUGCUCCUUCCUUUCACAAUACUAAACUCAAUAUCAGAUACGCAUAUCAUAGUUCAUUGCAAACUAGUGUCUAAUUCCUUGAUUAUAAGCCUCAAGAGUAUGGUUUCAAUAAAUUUCGAAUGAAUAAAAAAUUCCAUGAAUA